AAGUUGAGAGGAGCAAGGAGGAGGGUGGGGGGCGGGGGGCAGAGAGAGAGAGAGAGAGAUGGUUUAGGAGAGCAGGAGCCAGAGUAGCUUCUGUACAGAAUUGGCAAAUUGCAAAUCAGGGAGUUGAUCAACAGUUGGAAGGGACAUCGAGAACCAAAAUCUAAUAAACACCAUUUAAAUAUCUUUCAACAUAUCAGAGCCAAAGGCAACCAGUUCAAAGUUUAAAUCCUGCUAAAAGAUAAAAAUGACAGAAAAAAUUCAGAAUACUGAAGCAUCUCCCUAACUAGAAAACUUCCAUAUUGUCAAAAAGGAGGUGAUAAGUGAUCAAGGACCAUAAUAUGGACAUACUUGAUCUGACCAGAAGAAUCUUUGUUAAGGACAUAAAAUCAUUUUUGAGAUUAAAACAACUGAUAUAUUUAGAAGUGCACCCUUAAUGCACCUCUUUUUAAUAUUUUUUUCACCAAGAAAAUAAAUUCGAACAACUUAAUUCCCUCAUCAUUAAUCCAGAUUAGAACAUGAUGAUGACAUAAUGAGGGAGAUUCUAUCUGAAUUGUUUACUCUUUCAUCAGAAAGAGUGAGCAAAAAAGACUAAACUCUCCAAUGAUACAUCUUCUUGAUAUGCUAAUCCAUUUGACA
rnacentral:lncRNA from 1 species